rnacentral:pre_miRNA from 1 species
UUUGUACUCCCUCCGUUCCAAAUUACUUGUCUUGGAUUUGUCUAGAUACGGAUGUAUCUAGACUCAUUUUAGUGCUAGAUACCUCCGUAUCUAGACAAAUCCAAGACAAGUAAUUCAGAACGGAGGGAGUAGUUG